CAUGGAUAUGUUACCACCCUGAACAACCCAAUCUUGUCUGAGCUUGAAAGCUCAGCAGGAAUGAACCAGACAUGUAUUCAAAUGGAAGGCCAUCAUGGAACACUAGGGACUUCUAGUA
rnacentral:rRNA from 1 species